GUGUCAGCAGCCGCGCGGUAAUACGGAGGGUGCAAGCGUUAAUCGGAAUUACUGGGCGUAAAGCGUGCGUAGGCGGUUUAUUAAGUCAGAUGUGAAAGCCCCGGGCUUAACCUGGGAACUGCAUUUGAAACUGGUAAACUAGAGUAUGGUAGAGGAAAGUGGAAUUUCUGGUGUAGCGGUGAAAUGCGUAGAUAUCAGAAGGAACAUCAAUGGCGAAGGCAGCUUUCUGGACCAAUACUGACGCUGAGGUACGAAAGCGUGGGUAGCAAACAGGAUUAGAUACCCUGGUAGUCCACGCCGUAAACGAUGAUAACUAGCCGUUGGGGGGAUUUACCCUUUAGUGGCGAAGCUAACGCGUUAAGUUAUCCGCCUGGGGAGUACGGCCGCAAGGUUAAAACUCAAAGGAAUUGACGGGGACCCGCACAAGCGGUGGAGCAUGUGGUUUAAUUCGAUGCAACGCGAAGAACCUUACCUGGUCUUGACAUCCUGCGAACUUUCUAGAAAUAGAUUGGUGCCUUCGGGAACGCAGUGACAGGUGCUGCAUGGCUGUCGUCAGCUCGUGUCGUGAGAUGUUGGGUUAAGUCCCGUAACGAGCGCAACCCCUAUCCUUAUUUGCCAGCACAUUAUGGUGGGAACUAUAAGGAGACUGCCGGUGAUAAACCGGAGGAAGGCGGGGACGACGUCAAGUCAUCAUGGCCCUUACGACCAGGGCUACACACGUGCUACAAUGGGAUGGACAAAGAGUCGCGAAGCCGCGAGGUGUAGCUAAUCUCAUAAACCUUCUCGUAGUCCGGAUUGGAGUCUGCAACUCGACUCCAUGAAGUCGGAAUCGCUAGUAAUCGUAGAUCAGAAUGCUACGGUGAAUACGUUCCCGGGUCUUGCACACACCGCCCGUCA
rnacentral:rRNA from 1 species